AAUUUUGGGCAAUGGGGGAAACUCUGAUGCAGCGACGCCGCGUGAGUGAUGAAGGCCUUCGGGUCGUAAAACUCUGUCCUAGGGGACGAUAAUGACGGUACCCUAGGAGGAAGCCCCGGCUAACUACGUGCCAGCAGCCGCGGUAAUACGUAGGGGGCAAGCGUUGUCCGGAUUUAUUGGGCGUAAAGGGUGCGUAGGCGGCCUUUUAAGUCAGAUGUGAAAGAUCACGGCUCAACCGUGGUAAGCAUUUGAAACUGGAAGGCUUGAGUUAAGGAGAGGAAAGUGGAACUCCUAGUGUAGCGGUGAAAUGCGUAGAUAUAGGAAGGAACACCAGUGGCGAAGGCGACUACCUGGACUGAUACUGACACUGAGGUGCGAAAGCGUGGGGAGCAAAC
rnacentral:rRNA from 1 species